rnacentral:rRNA from 1 species
GUCGGAGACUACAUUACGUUGAAAACACCUAUUCCCUUCUAAUCAGUAAAGUUGAGUAACAUUAGACCUGAUUAGCACUUCCAUGGGUGACCAGCUGCGAAUACCCGAUGUUUCCGGCU